CGCACGCACGAAGCACAAACCCAUGACCCUGACCUCGCAGCGUGCUAGGGUAAGCCUGCCGCCCAUCCUCACCCGGCGCCGCCUCCGGUCCAGAUCGAUGAGAUGAUAGGAUCCCCACGAGCGCGUGAAGCCCUGCCGAUGCGGGAGAUGGACCUGGAGGUUUACGUCCACGAGGGUGACGGGCAGGUCGUGCGGCGCUGCAAGGACAAGAGCACCGGCUCCGGUGUCAGGUACGUCCGUAAGGAUGCGCCUGGUAUUUCAUGCGUGCACUGCUGGUUUUCGCCAUCUUUCCCUAGCGACAGCCACUCCAGGAGGAAUGGGUGUUUCGUGGCUGCGUUGCGGCCCUCCGCAUGCAUAGGAGGCCGACUGCAGUGAGUUCAUCGGCUGCGUCCACCAGUCUUGAUGGUAGUGGGACUACAGAAAUAACCUUGUAUCUUAUUCGUAUUAACCAUAGCUAGCUGGGCCGUCAUGACUUCCGGUUGUGCAGUUGCAGAGGUCAGAUGGUUUCCAGGAGAAUCAGACUAUCCCUCGAGGCCCCAAGAAAGAGGGCAAGAGUGAGCGGUGCAGUGUUAGGUUUGGAAGUACCAAGGCACAACCUUAAUUAGUGGCUGAUAGGGUGCUCUAGGUACUGCACGGCAUGGUAUUACUGACCUGCAGCUUGAUGAUUCGAUCAGGUGAGGUUUGCCGUAAUAUUCAUUGUCUAUGCUAUUGAACAUGAGCUUUGGGUACUUGACAUCGUAAAACAUGGUGAAGGAUCAAAUGAUUUGCUUCAUUUGAUCGUAUAGUGUGGGCAGUUCUAGGUGAGUUGGUUGUACUGGACAUUAAUUUAGGCCAUGCUCAAAAGUUCCCGAGUUCACAUAUAUAGUAACAAAUUUGCCUUGUUUCUUCUAAAAGAGUCAGCGCGGGGUCCUCGACUCCGUCCUGGCGUCCUUCGAGUGCACCGUGGGAGCCUUUCCCCAAACGUACCUUGGCUUGCCUCUCUCGUCCGACAAGCUCAAGCUCGACGACUUCGCCCCAUGCUUGCUAAGGUGGACCGUUACCUGGCUGGGUGGCGGGCGCGGCUGC